rnacentral:rRNA from 1 species
GUGGGGAAUAUUGGACAAUGGGCGAAAGCCUGAUCCAGCCAUGCCGCGUGUGUGAAGAAGGUCUUCGGAUUGUAAAGCACUUUAAGUUGGGAGGAAGGGCAGUAAGUUAAUACCUUGCUGUUUUGACGUUACCGACAGAAUAAGCACCGGCUAACUUCGUGCCAGCAGCCGCGGUAAUACGAAGGGUGCAAGCGUUAAUCGGAAUUACUGGGCGUAACGCGCGCGUAGGUGGUUUUGUAAGUUGGAGGUGAAAUCCCCGGGCUCAACCUGGGAACUGCCUCCAAAACUGCAUGACUAGAGUACGGUAGAGGGUAGUGGAAUUUCCUGUGUAGCGGUGAAAUGCGUAGAUAUAGGAAGGAACACCAGUGGCGAAGGCGACUACCUGGACUGAUACUGACACUGAGGUGCGAAAGCGUGGGGAGCAAACAGGAUUAGAUACCCCAGUAGUCC